AGCAACCACUAGAAUGGAAGCUGCAUGUGGGCAUGGCUUAGUUUUGUCCACUGCUGGAUCUCAGCAUCCAAAACAGUCUACCACCUGAUGUCUCAGUAUACUGGCUCGCGGCACAUCGGGCAAAUGAACCUAUCAGAUAACAACGGCAGAUCAGAUGCCUGAGCAUUCAGAAGCAACAGCUGUGGAGCCCCCGUGGGUUCAGAAGGCCUGGUUCCCGUCUCCAGAAGCCUGGCUCUCCUCCCUCCUGGGCCCACUACUUUGGCUUCUUGUUCCUACGUACAAGGAGUUGCGAAGAAGGCAACUCUUCCCCUCCCUGAAGCCAAAGGAAUGAAACAGACUAGGGCGGGAGAGGUGGCCAUCCGUCAUUAGUUGCGGCCAUCAGUAACAGCAACAGGACACGGAACCUAAGGCUGUAUCCAUCCUGGGCCCCCAGGGAAACAUCAGCGGGAGCGGUACUAAGGAAGUGCUCAUCUCUUAGAGACAAAGGCCCAUGGAGGGGAACAGUAACCAUCCCCUCCCAAUUCAGAAAAUGUUAACAUAAGCACUUCAUUUCUCAUGCAGAUAACCACAUAAGUCUAUUAAUAAGAAAGAAAGAGAAAGAAAAAAAAGAAAAAGGAAUCCAUGCCAGCAGGGUAUAGGAAUUGGUCUAUAGGAGAAAGGGUCACCCACUGAAAGGUGGGCUGAAUAGAAUUCCUUGCCUGGGCUUUGAGGUCCUGGCAUGGAGAAGGCUGUAGAAAUGCUGGCAUCAGUGGAACCCUCAAUAAACAGAAUUCUUGUUAAAGAA
rnacentral:lncRNA from 1 species